rnacentral:rRNA from 1 species
UACGUAGGGUGCAAGCGUUGUCCGGAAUUAUUGGGCGUAAAGAGCUCGUAGGCGGUUUGUCGCGUCUGCUGUGAAAACUCGGGGCUUAACUCCGGGCCUGCAGUGGGUACGGGCAGACUAGAGUGCGGUAGGGGAGACUGGAAUUCCUGGUGUAGCGGUGAAAUGUGUAGAGAUCGGGAGGAACACCGGUGGCGAAGGCGGGUCUCUGGGCAAUUCCUGACGCUGAGGCGCGAAAGCGUGGGGAGCAAACGGG